CGUCGUCUCUUUGCGCGAAAAAACACGAAGGGCACCGCGCGAUAACCAGCAACACCGUUCGCUCUCGCUGCAGAUUAUACACUUAUGCACCGUAAUGUCUGCAAUCGGACGCCAUGAUGUCACGAAGGCAUGUCUCGGUGACUCGAUGCCAAAGGGACUGUAAAGUUUAGUUGGCGUGCGUCCUAAAAGUUGACGAGAGCGAGUCUGAGGUGUCUGCAUGUUGGAUGGUGACUGCUGCUCCUCCAAUCGCUGGCGCCUUCGCGUGGAGCUCUUAAAUUUCUAUGCAUAGGUAAGGUUUUUUACGUUAAGUAUUUGCUUAAUUCUGACAUAUAUGUAUAAUUAUCUUGUUACAACACGUCAGUUAAAUUUAUAUAUUUGAAGUAUUUGCAGUAAAGAAAGUAAAAUUUUAAUAGAUAAUUGAAACUUUUCUUUUCGUUACUUUGAUCAAAGUUAUUUUUUGCUAAUACGAAAAUAAUUAUUUUAUAAUUUAAAUAUCCUGUACUUCUGCUUAAACAAAUAUAAUCAAGAUUAUCAUUAUUAAAUAAAAUAAAAAUGGA